rnacentral:rRNA from 1 species
UAGGGAAUCUUCGGCGAUGGGGGGAACCCUGACCGAGCAACGCCGCGUGAGUGAAGAAGGUUUUCGGAUCGUAAAGCUCUGUUGUUAAGGAAGAACGAGUGUGAGAAUGGAAAGUUCAUACUGUGACGGUACUUAACCAGAAAGGGACGGCUAACUACGUGCCAGCAGCCGCGGUAAUACGUAGGUCCCGAGCGUUGUCCGGAUUUAUUGGGCGUAAAGCGAGCGCAGGCGGUUAGAUAAGUCUGAAGUUAAAGGCAGUGGCUCAACCAUUGUAGGCUUUGGAAACUGUUUAACUUGAGUGCAGAAGGGGAGAGUGGAAUUCCAUGUGUAGCGGUGAAAUGCGUAGAUAUAUGGAGGAACACCGGUGGCGAAAGCGGCUCUCUGGUCUGUAACUGACGCUGAGGCUCGAAAGCGUGGGGAGCGAACAGGAUUAGAUACCCUGGUAGUCCACGCCGUAAACGAUGAGUGCUAGGUGUUAGGUCCUUUCCGGGACUUAGUGCCGCAGCUAACGCAUUAAGCACUCCGCCUGGGGAGUACGACCGCAAGGUUG